rnacentral:rRNA from 1 species
UCAGGACGAACGCUGGCGGCCGUGCCUAACACAUGCAAGUCGAACGGAGAUGUUGAUUUCGGUUGACGUCUUAGUGGCGAACGGGUGAGUAACGCGUGAACAAUCUGACCUUAAGAGGGGAUAACAACGAGAAAUCGUUGCUAAUACCGCAUAAGACCACAAUGCCGCAUGGCGAAGGGGUCAAGGGAGCAAUCCGCUUAAGGAGGGGUUCGCGUCCCAUUAGGUAGUAGGUGAGGUAACGGCUCACCUAGCCGACGAUGGGUAGCCGAGCUGAGAGGCUGAUCGGCCACACUGGAACUGAGACACGGUCCAGACUCCUACGGGAGGCAGCAGUGGGGAAUAUUGGGCAAUGGGCGCAAGCCUGACCCAGCAACGCCGCGUGAGGGAAGAAGGUUUUCGGAUUGUAAACCUCUGUCGCAGAUGACGAAACAAAUGACGGUAAUCUGUGAGGAAGCCCCGGCUAACUACGUG